ACGCACGCUGGCGGCGUGCUUCACCCCUGCAAGUCGAACGGUAAGGCCCCAGCUUGCUGGGGUACACGAGUGGCGAACGGGUGAGUAACACGUGGGUGACCUGCCCCGCACUUCGGGAUAAGCCUGGGAAACUGGGUCUAAUACCGGAUAGGACCGCACCGUGAGGGUGUGGUGGAAAGUUUUUCGGUGUGGGAUGGGCCCGCGGCCUAUCAGCUUGUUGGUGGGGUAAUGGCCUACCAAGGCGGCGACGGGUAGCCGGCCUGAGAGGGUGGACGGCCACAUUGGGACUGAGACACGGCCCAGACUCCUACGGGAGGCAGCAGUGGGGAAUAUUGCACAAUGGGCGGAAGCCUGAUGCAGCGACGCCGCGUGGGGGAUGACGGCCUUCGGGUUGUAAACUCCUUUCACCAUCGACGAAGGUUUUCUGACGGUAGAUGGAGAAGAAGCACCGGCUAACUACGUG
rnacentral:rRNA from 1 species